AUAGGUUAAUGAGGCGAACCGGGGGAACUGAAACAUCUAAGUACCCCGAGGAAAAGAAAUCAACCGAGAUUCCCCCAGUAGCGGCGAGCGAACGGGGAGGAGCCCAGAGCCUGAAUCAGUGUGUGUGUUAGUGGAAGCGUCUGGAAAGGCGCGCGAUACAGGGUGACAGCCCCGUACACAAAAAUGCACAUAUUGUGAGCUCGAUGAGUAGGGCGGGACACGUGGUAUCCUGUCUGAAUAUGGGGGGACCAUCCUCCAAGGCUAAAUACUCCUGACUGACCGAUAGUGAACCAGUACCGUGAGGGAAAGGCGAAAAGAACCCCGGCGAGGGGAGUGAAAAAGAACCUGAAACCGUGUACGUACAAGCAGUGGGAGCCUCUUAAUGGGGUGACUGCGUACCUUUUGUAUAAUGGGUCAGCGACUUAUAUUCUGUAGCAAGGUUAACCGAAUAGGGGAGCCGAAGGGAAACCGAGUCUUAACUGGGCGUUAAGUUGCAGGGUAUAGACCCGAAACCCGGUGAUCUAGCCAUGGGCAGGUUGAAGGUUGGGUAACACUAACUGGAGGACCGAACCGACUAAUGUUGAAAAAUUAGCGGAUGACUUGUGGCUGGGGGUGAAAGGCCAAUCAAACCGGGAGAUAGCUGGUUCUCCCCGAAAGCUAUUUAGGUAGCGCCUCGUGAAUUCAUCUCCGGGGGUAGAGCACUGUUUCGGCAAGGGGGUCAUCCCGACUUACCAACCCGAUGCAAACUGCGAAUACCGGAGAAUGUUAUCACGGGAGACACACGGCGGGUGCUAACGUCCGUCGUGAAGAGGGAAACAACCCAGACCGCCAGCUAAGGUCCCAAAGUCAUGGUUAAGUGGGAAACGAUGUGGGAAGGCCCAGACAGCCAGGAUGUUGGCUUAGAAGCAGCCAUCAUUUAAAGAAAGCGUAAUAGCUCACUGGUCGAGUCGGCCUGCGCGGAAGAUGUAACGGGGCUAAACCAUGCACCGAAGCUGCGGCAGCGACGCUUAUGCGUUGUUGGGUAGGGGAGCGUUCUGUAAGCCUGUGAAGGUGUGCUGUGAGGC
rnacentral:rRNA from 1 species